rnacentral:rRNA from 1 species
GAGCCAGAACACAGGUGCUGCAUGGCCGUCGUCAGCUCGUGUCGUGAGAUGUUGGGUUAAGUCCCGCAACGAGCGCAACCCUUGUCAUUAGUUGCUACGAAAGGGCACUCUAAUGAGACUGCCGGUGACAAACCGGAGGAAGGUGGGGAUGACGUCAGGUCAUCAUGGCCCUUAUGGGUAGGGCUACACACGUCAUACAAUGGCCGGGACAGAGGGCUGCCAACCCGCGAGGGGGAGCUAAUCCCAGAAACCCGGUCGUAGUCCGGAUCGUAGUCUGCAACUCGACUGCGUGAAGUCGGAAUCGCUAGUAAUCGCGGAUCAGCU